UAAUACGUAGGGUGCGAGCGUUGUCCGGAAUUAUUGGGCGUAAAGGGCUCGUAGGCGGUUUGUCGCGUCGGGAGUGAAAACACUGGGCUUAACCCAGUGCUUGCUUUCGAUACGGGCAGACUAGAGGUAUGCAGGGGAGAACGGAAUUCCUGGUGUAGCGGUGAAAUGCGCAGAUAUCAGGAGGAACACCGGUGGCGAAGGCGGUUCUCUGGGCAUGAUCUGACGCUGAGGAGCGAAAGUGUGGGGAGCGAACAGGAUUAGAUACCCUGGUAGUCCACACCGUAAACGUUGGGCGCUAGGUGUGGGAUCCAUUCCACGGGUUCCGUGCCGCAGCUAACGCAUUAAGCGCCCCGCCUGGGGAGUACGGCCGCAAGGCUA
rnacentral:rRNA from 1 species